rnacentral:lncRNA from 1 species
UUAUGUUUUGCAGUCUCAAAUAAUAAAAUUCACAACAAGAGCGUGUAUAAAAGGUCCAGGUCUCACUAAUUUCACAAAAAUAACAUCGGUACAUGUCCUAUGAAACAGAUGUGGGCUUGACCUUCUCCCUCAGGAAUUGCAAGAUGUGUUCUCGUUUCCAGUUGUCCACCCUGCACAUAAAAAUACCUAGUGCUGAGUUUUAUAGAUAAUCAGGACAUUUACAAGUAGAUUCUAAACAAAUUGGCAACACAGGUCCACCAAUGCAAGUGUAUUACAUAAUUCCCAAUGUAAACCAGCAUUAUGCAGAUAAAUUUCAGAAACUCAUAGUAUUUAGGGCAGUCAAAAUGCAUGCAUCAAUCAAGAUGUAUGUACUUUUUUAACAUAACUAGAGUUAUACUCAGUAAUGAAUUUUGAUUUGCUCGAAGCCAUCUUGUGUUCAUUUACCGUACAGAUUUUACGGUAGUUCAAAUCCCCAGAGACAGAACACAUCCCUAAAGCGGUUAAUAAUAUAUACACUAAAACAAUUCUUAAAAACUUGCUGCCUGAUUUCUCAAUCACAGAAUAAUGUGAGCACAAGUUUCAGAAGAUGACAAGCCCAAGAUUCCCUACUAUAGCUUAAUAGCUUAUAGAACCAAGAACAGGUUACUUUUAAAUGUUUUAUUUUUUUUUUUGUGAUUUAUAGUUAUUAAUUUUUUAUAUUAUUCAAUAAUUUUAAUCAGGAAUAUAAUAUGGUUGUUGGAAUUUGACAUUUAUAUAUAUCUUUAAAACUAAUAUUAAACAAAUUAAUUUUAAUAUGUUGUUGAUGGGGAAUCGAACCGUAGAAUUUUGUAUAAUUUUUUUUUAUAAUAUUGUAUCUUACAGUUUUUAUCCAUUUGACAAAAAAAAUAAAAUUAACAGUGGUCAUUAAGAGGGAUAACCAAAAAUUAGGGAGAACCAAACUACAAACUAUACCUAUGUUCGGUUAUUAUAUUUUAAUAUUAGUAUUGAUAAGCACCGCCACUGCAAAAAAAUUGAGUUAAUAAAGCUCACCUUAUGGUCUCUUUAUGUUGUCCAUCAUCAUCCAACAUAAUCAACUUUGGUGGAGAAUUGUAUGCAUAAUUGACUUUCACUGUUGGGAACUUUUCCUUCUCUUCUUCAAUGAAACCAACAAUUUCAGGAUAAAAAACCAGCUUCCUCAUGCAGACCUCUAGAACUGCACCUGAGUAGAUAAUCUGCAAUAUACAUAAAAGACCGAGACAAGAACAUUAAAGUUACGGAAGCAAGUCAAGUAACUAUUCUCAGCAAGAUUUCCAAUGCUCAUAAUAUCUAAAUGUGCUUGUUGUAGAUAGCAAAAACCUUUCCACGCGUCUUUCUAUCAACCUAAAUAGUGUCUCACUUAUACUUUCAUGAUCUGCUUUCAAUAAACAAUGUGAACUUAUGGAGCAGCAAAUAUAAUUAAUAAAGAUACCCCCUCACUCCUAACAGCAUAAUCUCAAAAUUUAGAAACCUGACUACGAAAAAACCUUAUUACCAAAUUCAUCCCAAGGCCACUUAUAUUCUCUUUCUUAAUGAAUAAACCAUUAAAAUCAAUAUACAAUUUCUUAAUAGUGUCUUCGGUUUCAAAUUAUUUGAGGUUAUUUUAAUAUUGGCUUUAACAAGCACUGCAAAUUGUAGAUGAAAAAUUACAACAGGAGUCCAGGACAUUCGGAAAAAGAUUAGAAAAUAUCUACAUUAGGAUAGAGGGAACAGUAACAGUGUCUUCGGUUUCAAAUCAUUUGAGGUUAUUUUAAUAUUGGCUUUAACAAGCACUGCAAAUUGUAGAUGAAAAAUUACAACAGGAGUCCAGGACAUUCGGAAAAAGAUUAGAAAAUAUCUACAUUAGGAUAGAGGGAACAGUAACAGUGUCUUCGGUUUCAAAUCAUUUGAGGUUAUUUUAAUAUUGGCUUUAACAAGCACUGCAAAUUGUAGAUGAAAAAUUACAACAGGAGUCCAGGACAUUCGGAAAAAGAUUAGAAAAUAUCUACAUUAGGAGAGAGGGAACAGUAAAAUGUGCAAUAUAUUAAAUGUAAAGUGCAAUAAUUUAAUAUGGUAUUCACAACAUUGUUUGAAAAGAAUUUGCAUCCAUACCUUGCUCAUAGAAUCAUCAGAAUCUUCCGUACAGCACUUCUUACAAUCAGAUACAAGUUCUGCAGAUAAUCAAAAGACUUAAUAAAAAAAGGAAGCACUGUUCUUAUGAAACGGGGUACAAAAACAGAUACACGAAACAUCACUUUUAAUAUAAUACAUAUAUAUCAUAGAAGUCGUUGUGUAUUAUUACAAGUUCAAUAUGAUUAUUUGUGAUUUAUCAUGUUAUUGAAUUAAAUGAUACAAUUAACUGGACUUGUGUGUUCAAAAAUCAGGACAUAUAUAAAUACACUAGUACUGGACUACUGGACUACUUGAAGAUAAUGGUUGGGAAUAAAGUUUUGGGCCAAUACAUAUAGGUGCUCAAAUUUGAGUAGACUGUGCUAACCCUAAUCUAUCAGCAGUCAUGUAGAGUGAAAUAGAGACAGAUAGAUUAUAUACAAUUGUCCUGCCUCUUCUCCCUCUUCUUCUCUUCCUUUCAUCUUCUUCCUCCUCCAAAUAGUAUGCUAUGUCAUUAGAGUCCUACAACAUCAAAGUUAACUGCAAAAUUGUUCCCAUACGCCGUUUCGUCACCAUGAACGAACCAAGACGCAUUUGUUCACGGAUCAGGGACAACAAUCAGGAUUGAAAAACAGGGCUCCGUCCCGCGUUCCUUGUAGUUAUUAGUUAAACAAAAAGCAUUGACUGAACCAAGACGGUAUAAUCACAAAACUAUCAUCAUAGUUAUGAACUACUUGAUAGGCUGAAUCAAGGAAGGAAGCAAUAAUGAAAAAAGAAAGAGCAGAAAAAUGAGGUACAGAAUUUCAGUGACGAAACUUUAACCAAAAACAGCAGUUUGAAGGAUGGAACAUUCAUCCGUAAUUUGGUGGGUAUAAGCUUUAGUUUAAAUUGCUAGGCAUGCAAUAGAAUUAUAAAUGAAAAUUAAAAUGGUGUAGCCAUAAUGAGUAUAAAUUUCAUUCCAUCCAGGCUCCGACACAAAAGCAAAUCUACCAUGUUUGUAUAAAUGAUUUGAAAUAAUGCAAUAACCAAUUUAAAGGGUAUGUGGUGUGUAACAAUGCCUAAUUACAAUUUGCGUCUCUUUGCAAACCUUAUCAAAUAAAAGAAAAAUCAUAAACACAAAUUGAUUGUCCCAAAUCAAAAUCGUAAAAUUACAUAAAAUACUAAAAUCCAACACGAUUCAAAUCGAAAGUGAAGUAAAAACAAGAAAGUCAAUCAAGAUAUACAAAGAGAAGAAGUAGUGGACCUUGAUCUUUGACAAAAUCAGCAAAAGAAUUGCAGUCAGAGCAGAGAGCAAGACCCGUAAACCCUAGAUUUUCACACUCUUUGGAGCUCAAUUCCUGUGCACCAAUCACAGAAAAUGAUAAUAAUGCAACUAAUGAAUACACCAAUAACCCAUUCUUCAC